GAGAGUUCAUGCAAAGAAAAGAUGAAUAAAUUAAUGCCCAUUCGAGACAUAACAUACCUCAAAAUAAAGAAACAUCAAGGACUAAGUUUUGAAUGAUAAUGAUGCACACACUUAUGCACAUGAUAAGAAUGAGAGUCAAUCGAUACGAUGCAAAGCCUAGACGGGUUCAUAUAACAAUCCGAACAGAAUGAAGCAACUAGAAUGAAAAUAACUUCUCGCUUAAUUCAAUAAGAUAUAUUGCGCAUGGUUUGAACAUACCUCGAUAAUCUACUUAAGAGGUGAAGAUAUAUUCAUGGACAAAAUAGUGAAUACAAAAAACAAAAGGUCACAGAAGGAUAAAGAAUUCCCUGCACAAAUUCUUAAGGGAGAUUUUAUACCAAAAGCAUGGUUCCAGCAGGUGGUGAUGAUUCUUACUAUAUCAAACCAAAUUUUAACGCUCCUAGCCUGCGAAAGACUAAUUAUCCCAGAUUUCAAAUAAAGGCAUUUAACAUGGGAUAGGAUCAAAUAGAGAAGGAAAAGACUAGAUACAAAUAGUACGAGAAACAAUCCGAUCUUGGACUCCUUAAAGAAAAUAAUCAAAAUCCAGCAUUUUAGAUAAGUGUAGACUAGGUUCUAUCACAAUAUAACGAAAUAUAUACCCAUGGCCUUCUUUCGCAAGAAAAAAGGCUUAAAGGCUCUAUCGAAUUUGAACUCACAGUGAUUUCAUCUUCCUAUUAAAUAAAUAUUAAAGGGAAGAAAAUGAAAACUGGGAAGAGGGCCUGUGAGGCAACAACGUCUUUCUAUUCACAUGAGUAUACAUGAAAUCCCUGUACAGACGUCACCCAACAGACGACAACUACUCCAAAGUAACGCAAGAGAGAGUCUGGGAAUACUGUCUCCAAAUCGAUCAUGUGAGUAAACUAAACUUCAAAGAGUAACAAGCAACAAAUGUUCGAGUCAAAAUCUUUAGAGCAACAAUUAAAUCUGGAAACCACCUAAUCAGUUAAUUCUUGACAGUGGGUAUUUAAGGACGGAGAUAAGUGAUUAUGACGCGUUAUCUCAUCCCUAAUCCUAUUUCUGAAAGAAAAAUGAGUAUAACUUCAUCCCUACCUUCUUGAUAUUACUGAACAAGAAAGAUUACUGGGAAUCCUUAGCUCAUGUACAAACAAUAUAAUGUAAUGACAACAAAAUUAGUCUAAUUUUCCCAAACAAACACACUUAAAUGUGCAGCAUCCACAAAAAGAAAACAACAUUUAUCCUUCUAAUAGGAUUUCAUACCGAAGAUGAACUUAAAGGAAAAAUGGAAAUCUAAAUUUGGGUUUUUGAAACCAAAAGAAAGGUAUAAUCCACAGACUGAAAAAAAAAGCAUGUGGCAGAGUAUACUAUCCUCAUCCUCACUCUCUCUCUCUUCGACAAACCCAAAAGAUAAGCUUUUGGUAGCCGAAAUAAUUACCGAGGAAUCACGGGAUUUUUCUGUUUUUGGAGGACUUAUCCUCGUUAUUCUUUGUCAUUUUGGAAGGCAAAGAACUCAAGAGAAAGUCCUACUAACGGUAUUAUCGGCACAACAGUUAUAAUAACGAAAAACAACAAAAGCAACCCAAACGGAAUAUUGUCUCUAUCUUCCUCAUCGCUCCGAUCAACUCAAACAAAAUAGUCAUCGAGGAAUCCUAGGAUUUUCUAGAAUAUUUUGGACCUUGAUCAUUGUCUUUUUGGCACAUAAAAAGCCAAAGGAACUUGAGAGGUAGCUCUACCAGCAACACUUCUAGCUCAACAAUGACACCACAAUCCAGCAACGAUCCUAAACAAACAUGAUCAGAUAACAACUACAAGCCAAACAUCGUCGACUAAAACUACGGAAUACAAUCAAAGUCACAAACUUUGCCUAACAAACCAGCCCUUCCAAUUACCAUCCAUACACCGAGUGAAGCACAGGCCAAAAAUUACUCAAUAACACCAAGAGUGGGCGACAGAUCAUGACACCAAAGUAAACAAGGAUGACCGAAAACAAACCUGAACAUAGAUUAAUUCUAACAUAACAAUUCAUUCAACAUUUUUCAUCAAAAACAACAACCUAUGGUCUUUGAGACCUCUACAGCACAUAACCCAGCAAACAAAACUACGAUUUUACCAGAAAAUGGGAUGAAGCAUAGAAAGUGAAAUAACGAAAUAAGGGUAAAUGAGUGUUCACCUCCUUCGGGGCAGCAAAAUGGGAUAACGAUCUAUCAGCGGGACCACCAGAAAAUGUCGUCUUCACUAUCAACUCGACACUCUAAUUUAGCUGAUGAGCUUUCGAAAUAAGAACAGAAUUUAUAUUUGAGACUGAGUCUCCUCAAGAAUCUUUCUUUCUUCUUUACUUUUAAAAUGUUUAACCUACAGCUUUCUACAACCCCAAUUUCGAACCCCCUUUAGGACCCCUCAAAGAAAAUCCCCAAAAACAGUAGCUCCCCGAAGAAACUAUGAUUUUUGAACCCCAAGAAUCGAAAGAACCAAUUUUAUGGAAAAAAAUCAACCUUCGAAAGAACCCCGAGCUGGAAAAAAAAACCUUAAAUAGUGACCUCAAGGGCCCUUUUUAUAGAAGAUGAAUUAGGGUUUCCCCUAGGGAUUUGAAAAAGUGAGAAAUCUUGAAUUUGAAAUUCAAAGGAUGGGAUAAGGUUGAGCUGUAAUUUGUCCUAAAAAUCAUACCAAGUUGUUGAGAGAUUUGAAUUUUGAAUGGUUAGCAAUUGAGGAGCGAAUUGGAAGCUAACAUGUAGCACCCUCUAGAACAUUCGAUGUUCUUGUCUCGUGCUAGUCACACACAGACGUUGAGAGAAAACCUCAUUAGGUUAGGCUCGGGUUGGCUCAAACAGGGCCGAUUUGAGUUGGGAUCGAGUUGAAACCCGUGUCUCCGUUGAUGGCUGCUUAGUGUUGGAUUUGAUUUUGGUUGGAUUUUGGCUAAUGUCGGGUUAAAGGGUUGAGAGGAGUUGCUGGGUUGAGAAUUGUCAUGGUGAAGCUGUUGUUAAUUGAAUGAAGAAGAGGGGAAGGUUUAGGCCGGGUAUGUUUGUUGGUGUGGGCCUAGGGGCGUUGGGCUGCUGGAAAUUUGGGGCUAAUUUGGCAAAGUCAAAAGGAAAUUGGGCUUGGGCUUGUUAAUUUGAAGAGUGGGCUGGUAAUUUAAAAAUAAGAAUAAACUGAAUUUGGGGUUAUUUAAUUGAUAACCCCAAUCAAAUUAAGAAUUAGUCAAAUCCAAUUAAAUUUUAACCAAAUUGAAGUCAAUUGGCCUAUUGCAUUGCAAUUGAAGCCAAUUUUAUUUCAAUUAUAGUCAAUUUAAUAGAUUGACCAAAUUAAAUCGAUACUCGAUACAAAUUGAUACCUCACUUAAUCCCAAGCUGCUUGAUUUGAUAAAAUCAAACACAUAUUUUCCAAAUAAAUUAAUUUUAAGAAUAAAUUAUACUUAAAUCAAGAUUUUUCAACCAUUUGAAUUUAUUUUCAAAAUAAUCCUUGAUAAAAAAAUUCAAUACUCCGUAAAAUAGAUAUUUAAGUAACAAAAUUACAUAUUUUCAUAUAAUUGAAUACGAUAAUAUAUAAUCGCUACUUAAAAUAAUAAGUUUACCCAAAUAAAUAGCUUGAAAAGAUUCUUAUUCAGAUAAAAUAUAUGUUGCGAUUUUAUUUUAAAAUCGAAGAAACUCGAGAUUAAACAUAGUUGUGGAGGGCAAAAAUUAGGUGUCAACAACUGCCCCCUCCCUUUGGGUAGGAUGGAUGCAAAUAAUCCUGGGCAAAGGGAGGUUGACAUUCCUAAUUUUUGUCCGACCACAAAUUCGUAUCUAAGAGAGGUUGGUUUUCCGCACGAGUUUCAUGAAGUUAUGGCCGACCCUCAGUAUCAGGUUUCCUACAUAUCUCAUGUUACAUGAGAAUUCAGGUCACUUGUAGUUCAUAAAGCUUGAUUUUAAGCACGAUUUUCAAGCAAAUUCACCAACUAUUACGGUUUUAGAGUUUUUGGUUAAAUCGAGAAGCUGGAGAAUAAAGGGAUUUGUGGGGAGGUUGGAAUGCAGUCGAGUAUUCUACAGAGAUCCCAGCCUACAUAUCCCCAAGAUUUUAGGGAAUCAGACUGUUUGUAGUUCGACUCGAUCGGUAGAAAAGAUAGUCUUUUAUUUCAGAUGAUCUUUGGCUCGGAAUGAGUGACAAGUUAAUGAGUUGCGGAAAAGAGGCUUGUAACAUCUUAACCAUGAAUGUGGAGCUCUUCACAUCCAUAGGUAAGAAUUUACGUGGGCAUAAUUUCCAAAACUCUAAGUGUUUUGCCACCUGAAUUUGAAAGAAAGAGAAGGUUACCCUCGGCGUGAGUUUAGAAAUAUUUUGAAGGUGAAGCUGAAAACAGAAUAUCCAAAAAUGCCUACAUGCCUUCUAAUAGAGGUGUGGUUAGAUGGUGGUGGUGAUUAUCAUUUAGCUCGCGUCUAGAGAGUUUGAGAUCCCUCUCUAGACUAUGUCCCGUUUUGCUGCUGAGAAGAGUUCCACGUUGUGCUGCGUCCUUCUGGAGUCGUACGCACCUAUGGUUUUGGUUUGAUAUUUUCAUCCUUUCAGAUUCUCUCGACAAUUUCUCAAGAAAAAAGUGUUAGUACUAACAUAAUUCACAAAAGAUGUAGGUAGUCUUAUACCAUAUCUCCGUAUGAGUUGUGGCCUGAAAAGCGGAGUCAUCUCUUUAUGGUACCUAUUUGGAAUGAAAUAACUGGAAACAACAAACACAAAAACCCUCUUGGUUGUUCUAUAAUUAUGACAUUUGUCGGUUGAAUCUGUCUUCAAAGUGGGGUGGCCUUUUGGAUACCGUCGAUACUUUAUGCAGAACGGUCUCUACAACCGUGUAAUCUUAUGCUAGAGUGGCAACCCUUUUGGUUACCUAUAUCACUUGUUGUAUGUGGAAUGAUAACCUCUCCGGUUACAGCCGAUGAUCGAUUUAUAAAUUUUUCUUAAAUUAUCAAUCUUUGGAUAAUCUUGCGUAUUAUUUGAUAUUGGAUACGAGGCGAAUUACAGAUAUCCUUUGAAUUUCUAGCUUUUAGGUAAUCCUGCACAUUAUCUGACUUUGGAUAAGAGAUGGCUUACAGAUAUCCCUCCAAUCGCUAGCUUUCAGGUGUUCCUGCACAUCAUCCGACCUUGGAUACAAUAUGACUUACAGAUAAUCUCUCAAAUUGUUAGUCUUUGGGUAAUCCAUCACAUAAUCAAACUUGGAUAUGGCACGGCUUAUAGAGAACCCUUGGACAUAUCAAUUUGAUAAUCUUGCAUAUUUUUCGAUAAGGAUUUAGUUGCGACUUAUGGAUAACCUUUGAACUAUCGAUUUUUGGGCGAUCUUACACACUAUCCGGUUAGGAUGUUGUUGUGGCUUACAGAUGACCUACAGGCUCUCAAAUCAAAGGUGAUCUUGCACACUAUCCUAUUUCAAAUAAUAUGACUUAUAGAUAAUCCCUUAAAUUGUCAAUUUCCAGGAAACCUUAUAUAUCAUUCAUCCUUAGAUAGCGACUUAAAGGCGUCCCUUCAAAUUGUGUACCCUCGAUGUAUUUAUAUGCUGAUUUAUGAAAUAAUGAGAUAUCCUCGACGCCAGUAUUUCUGUCUAGUGUGUCAACAGCUAUUGAAUGCCUUCUAGGGUGAUGGUAUGAGAUGGCCUUUGAGGAAAUGAUAUGUAAUGGCCCUUGGGGCGAUGAUAUCCAAUAGCCCUUGUGGCGAUAAUAUGCAAUAGCCAUUGUGGCGAUGCCCUGCGGUUAUGAUGUGUAAUUUUACCUAAUUUCAUUUAUCAGUGUCCUGCUUUCUACAUGUACCUGUACUCAAGGUAGACGAUUAGUAUACACAAAGUCGCUUUUACUAGCAACUAUUUUUAGGAAAUCUUUUAAAUACGAUAUGUGUAAAGAAGACAAAGAGCUUUUGUUUGUCGCCUACGAUCUCGAGAAAUGAGAUGGACAAAUCAAAAGGUCCUCAAUAAAUGGGAGUUAAACCUAUUUUUAGGGCUACCCUAAAAUACCGUUCUUGGGUAUUAAUGCUCUGUUGUGGCUCCCAUUUUGCUCGGGGAUUUUUGAAAGAGACCCUUAUUUUGUAUAUUGAACCCUGCAUCCAUAGAAAAAUGAUUAGUUUGAAUGAAAGUACUCCGUGUUGACCUUCUUCGAUCCUUGAUUUGCUCCUUUCCAUCCUUGGGUAUUCCACCAUAUCAGGACUUUCACCCUGACACUCCAUCCCAAAUAAUGUCUAGGCAAAUACUAAAUAAGUGAGUCGUAAGAUUUUUGGAAAAUAGUCUUAAAUUUUUGAAAACUUCUGUAAAACUUUAGAAAAUCUCUACCAGCCAUGUCAUGUACUAGCUCAACGAAUGUCUUCCUCGUGGUUUUAACUAUAUUCGAUGGAUGGUUUCCAAAACUCAUGAUCAUUAUUGGAGGGUUUCUUCAAGUAGUUCUAUCAUAGACAAAAAUUGAGUCUACCCAGACUUUGUUACAGUUGGUGGCUUCCAAAGCUUUAACCUCUGGUGCUGGGGAAUUUGGAAUAUGUUCCAGCAUUUGGUGGAAAUUUUGAGGUCUUCCUCAAAAUUUCUGCCCCAGUUUAAAGUUGUUUGAGAUGAUACCAAUCCGAGUGGAUCUGAAGUCUUUGCUAAUCUUCAUUCUUUUUGUUGGAUGUCGAUCUUCUCUUGUGAAUUUUCGAUAUUCCUUCUCAAAAAUUUUGCCCUAGUUUUCCUUUCCUGGGGUUAUAUGACUGAACCGUUGGGGCGCCUACAUAUCCCGUUGAAGCAGGAAUCAGGUCAAACGUAGUUCAGGCCUACGCUAGGGGUAUACAACGAAAAAUCUAAUGGGUUGACCGAAGCCGACAUAGGCCGCCUACGUAUCUCAUUCUUGAGAAUUCAGGUCAUCGCAUAGUUCAUACCUAAAAGGAAAGAUAAAUUUUGCUAAGGGGGUGACCGAAGCCGACAUAGGCCGCCUACGUAUCCCUUUCUUGGGAAUUCAGGUCAAACAUAGUUCGUACAUAGAGGGAAAGGAUUCUAGGCGAUUAGACAUCAUAAAAUUGAUACUAUUAUAAAGGCGAUUACAAAUAAGCCCAGAAAUAAAACUAUAACAUCUUUCAAGCAUGAUAUAUCUUUACCGCAUCAGAAUCGAUUGGUUUAGUCCACUCUUGACCAUCCAUCUCGGGUAGUAUUAGGGCUCCUCUAGGUUAGGCUUCUUUUGAUUUUCACAUUCCUUCGUAUCUACUACUAACUGUUCCUCAUCACCUUUUUUGUUCAUUAUUAUUUCCUUCGCCUUGUUCGCCUUACCCUUGACGUGACAUGACAUUGACAGGUUUUUCAAAUUAUUGAGACCAAAACAAACCAUGCUCGAUAAUCAUAUUUAAAAAUUAACUUCUUAAAUAAAGGGAGGCCUUUUGGAAAAUAAAUAAAAACUAUGGCUUAUGACCCACACAAAUGUGGGCCCAUGCCUUUUUGAAAGUUGUAAAAUACGAAACAAAAGUUUGAGACAUAAAAGGGUGGAUAACAGGGCCUCCUCCAGAUCAUCACCGAUUUUAAAAAAUAUUAGUAAUUUCCCUUUCAUCUACCGUUAUGAGUGAUGGUUUAUGAGUGGAGUGGAGGUCCAGUUUUGCAAGGCCUCCCAUUAUGCAAUCUUCUUUACCCCACCGGACUUUGGAAAACCAUCUGGUAAAGCAUUGUAUCCAUCGAACAGAUCUUUUAUCCCAUCCCCAAGACCAUCAUCGUUUGACACCUCAUGUACGGGAAAUGACUGGUACAAGAUCGGCAAGGGCCUAAAAAGACUCUCCUUUGAAUUAUCUUCGAUCUCAUUUUUCCUUCUUGGCUGGUACUCUAUCUCAUGCUUAAAUUCUUUUUCAAGGACCAUAACAGGCUCAAAAAUUUCUUCCAAAUCCUUCCUUGAGGCGGCCGCAACUUUUUCUAUCUUCUCUACCUCUUUUGUUCUUCUGAGUCCUUCUGAAUUUACCUUAUCAAUGGCCUUGAUAGAUUCUCAUUCACCAUCUAUUUCAAUCAUAUUAACUGUAGGUCCCCCAUGGUUAGGCAACGAAUUACUGUUAACAUUUGGUGUCGGCGACUGAAGUGUGAUGACCUUCAGAUCGAUCAAAUCUUGGAUCUUAUGUUUCAAGUUAAUACAAUCUCGGUACUGUGCCCCCGCUGCUCCUAAAUGAUAGGCACAAUUUUGAUCGGGAUGAUAAAACUGGGAGUUGGAUCGAUAGGCUUUGGCUGGAUCGGUUGCAAAUAACCAGCUUUCAUCAAUCUUUCGAAGAGCUGGGUACGACUUUCAGCUAGCAGCAUGAAGUUUCGGGGAGGUUUUUUUUCAAAUUUUAGACGUGGAGGGUUAUAAUGAUUCUUAUUUAUGGGGGGAGGUACUUGAUGAUAAUUUGGAGACAUUUGGACAUUUAUUUGGUUAUUUGGGAAAGUAGCUUGAGUAUGAGGCUGAUAAUUUAGUUGUGGAACUUUGUACUGGCGUAAAAUAUUUGGAUUUGGAGCUUGACAUUGGGGUUGAGCGUAGAAUAUAGGCUGAAAACUUGGUGAUAAUGAUGAGGAAAGAAUAUUUCUAGGCUUGAAUUUCCUCUUUAACUUAUCAACAGAAUUAGUAGAGACCGCAGUCGCAUCCUCUCUUUUCUUCUUUGGAAAUGCAUAUGAUUUAGAUGAUGUUGGGGUUUUGGCAAUAUUUCCUGUUCGAAUGCCUUCCUCUAAUAAUUCCCCAAUCUUUACUAAAUAUGUGAAAGUUGCUCGGACCGCGGAUACCAUCCUGGUAUAAAAUUCUCCUUCCUGUGCACGAGAGAAAACUGAUACCAUUUCUUCCUCAGACAUGGGAGGUUGUACUUUAGCAGCCUCUUUUCUCCAACGAAAAGCAUAGUCUUGAAAACUCUAUCAUUCUUCUGUUUAAUCCGAUCUAGUGAAUAUCAUUCAGGGACUAUUUCAAUAUUGAAUGCAAAUCGGUCAAGGAAACCCUUGGCCAAUGCUUUCCAACCAGACCACUUUUUCGGCUCCUGAGACAUAAACCACUCCAAGGCUUCGCCACUUAAACUUCAACUGAAUAGGCGCAUCAAUAACUCCUCAUUUUUCCCUAUCCCUACCAGUUGCUCACAGUACCUUUUACGAUGGGCCAUUGGAUUUUUGGUACCGUCAAACAUCUCAAACUUAGGGACUUUGUACCCAUUUGGUAGGUCUACUCCCGGGUGAACACAUAAAUCAUCAUAUCCUAAACUAUCGUGGUCCCUCACUUCAUGAGAUUCUUUGAUCCUUAUGAUCUCUUCAUUCAUAGCUAGCAACUUCAUUUCAUGCUCGGUUCUCCACUCUUUCUCCUUCUCCUCGUAAUGAUAUAUCUCGAGAUGAGGAAGGGGAUUAUAGAUAUUAGGGGAUAUGAUGGCGUGAGGAAGAUUUGCAAGGAAGGCUUGAUUUUGCAGAUAAGGGGAAUUUGGUUGGUAAGUAGGGAGGACAUUUUGGAAAUUAGGAAGGUUUCGUGGACCUUGCAGGUAUUUUGACGGAAUAUAAGAAGGAUUUUGAGGAUUUGAAAAUGAAUUUGGUGGAUUCGAAGGUAGAUUUGAUAUGUUUUGUGGGUUUGGGAGUGAAUUUUGCGAAUUUGGGAAUGCAUUUUGUUGAUUUAAAAAUAUGUUUUGAGGAUUUGGGAAUGUAUUCGGAGAUGAAUUUUGUGGGGUUAGAUAUGGAUUUUGUGGAUGGUAGGCGUCUGGGUUAUUUUCAUGAUUGGUAUUUUAGACAAAUGGAGGAGCAGAGACUGACGAUACGUUAUUCGGCUGAUCCCUGAGAAUAGGGGUGCUGAGGGGAGGAAUUUGGAGUGGAGUCCUGUGUCCCCCCGGAGCAGGGGCAUUGGCGGUGAUAGCCAAGUUAGCCAAAUCUCGAGUGCAAUUUAUUUCCUCCUAAAGCAUUUCUAACUUUCUUGCAAGUUUCACAAUCAUCUCAUUCUGUUCCGCUAUCAAAUUAUCCCGGAUAGUCAGUGCGCUCUCUUCGUUAUUUCCUGUCAUUUUUGGAUGAUGGUCAGAGGAUGGGAUUUUGUGCACUUUCGAUCGGGUGAAGUAGGGAUGUUCUGCCAGCUUAUAUCAACAUAGAGUAAUUUCUAUUAUCUGCAAAGUAGAACAACUCAAAAUCAAAUGCGUUAGUUUUCAUAUGUGAUAAGUAAUGCAAAAUAUUUGACAGGAAAUAACCACACAGAGUUGUUCGAGUCAUAGUCAAAUUCAUUCGUAGAACAUAGUGGAUAAACUUGCCUUUGAACUCAACAAAUGCACAUAAGCACAUAAAAUAGUUAUAUUACACAAAACAUUAUAAUGACGCGUAUCCUAGUUGGGGUGACCCUUUUUGAGCCAAGGGUUCAGGCCUAACAAUUUUUUGAAGAAAAUAUGUGUUUCCUCAAAGUCAAUCCAUUAACCCCUAAAUCAUAUAGACACAACAAGGGCAUAAAUGCCUACAAAAGAUAUCGAAAUAGGGAUACAAUCUUUAGGGAAAAGGGGAAAUAACAUGAAAGAAGAUAAGUUCCCACACAGGGGAUAAUAGAAAGAUUAGCUACUGGAGGCUCCUUCGUCCGUUUUUGCCUUCUUUGCCUUGUUUACCUCAUGUGCUAUUUGAUACCUAUUGAUGAUAAGAUGACUCCCGAAUAACUGUGCCUUGCAGUCGUAAGUCAUUUUUCCUAUGCUAUCGAGUUGGGAGGCCAUGCUAUCAUCCAAAUCGAUUAGGCAUUGCCUGGCAUCAUCAGUGCCUUGCCUAGCUCUUUUCAACUCUUACCUUAACAUGCGUAUGGUCAAAGCAUCCUCCAUGUGCAUCUGCCGGUGCGCGAUUUCACUUUUUUGGAACUCAUCAUGUAGCCUGUGAAGUUGAAUUUGAUGCUCGAAUUCUAUAUCCAUAACCUGAGUGGGCACAUUUGGUCCCGGAAUUAAUGCUUUGGCAAGACUCUUUUUCAACCACUCCUUAUAAGUGUCGCUGACGUCAGGGUCAUGCUCUAUACGGAAAGUCACUUCUGUCCACCUUCUUCUUCUCCAUCCAUUUAUCAUGCUAUCUUUGAGUGGAGACUCACUUUCAUCGUAUUCCGUGAAAAACCUAAGUAUGGAAUCUAUUUGUGGUGCCUCCUGCUUGAUCUCGAAUUGCCUAAGAACUCUACCAGGAUUGUGUGGCCGGGUCCCCCUAAGACUGGGAAGCACUAGGAAAGGCCACUUGCCCCCUCGAAUGGUGUAUUUCCCUGAACGAAGAGAGUUAAUGGACCAUUGCACAUUGUCAUCUCUUAAUUCCCCAAAAGUCUUAAACCAAAAUUCGUGAGAUGCUUCCCUUUUGAACCUGUGUAGAAACAACCAUAUGUCAUGCGAAGCUAGCAUAUCCACCCUUGUUUUAUGAUCAGGUUGUACCGUUAUUGAAUCCUUUACCAAAUGCUUCAUUAUCCACCAUUGUAAUAUUAGGUUGCAACCUUGAAAGAAACGAUUUUCGACUUGACACCUUCCCAAGGCUCGAUAUAUGUCGGCGACAAUCAUGGGAGCUAAAUUGUGGAAUACCUUGGUAGGAUCGUAAUCUACUCCAAAGAAAAGUGCAUGGGCCACCAUAACAACACUUGGAUGAAUUGUGCCAUUUUCUCCCUGUGGGAACACCAUGGUUCCGAGUAGACCUACCACAAACGCAAAGGCUCUCAUCUCCUUCCAUUUUGCUUCGGACUCAAAUUUAUGUCCAAAUUUGUGGAAGGCAUUGAAUCUUCCAAACCAAUGAUACAACUCCCAAAAAGUGAUAUUUCCUCCAUCACGUUCCCCUAGCCAGGUUUCGUCGUCGGUUAAAAAUGCCUCUUUGAUUGUUUGACGGUCCCACAAGGUAGGAACUAAAAUGUUCUUAUCAGGUUUUUCCUUUCUCUUGAAACACAUUUCAAUACUCUCAUAGCAAAUUAACACUUCUUCGAUGGUAGGAGUCAAUUCCACAUCCCCGAAGCGAAACACCAUAUUCUAAUCAUCCCAAAAAGUCGUAAGCACGUGGAUCAUUUCAGGCCAAGCGUCCAUUUCGAUCAACGAAGGCAGGUGCCCGAUGUGUGCCCUAACAACUUUUCUCUCAUCUAGACCCAUGUAAUCCCACCACAAUUUCAAGUAAUCAUCAGGUUUGGUAACCAUUUUGAACUUUUCACGGGAAUGAGAUUGAGUCAUAUCUACGUAAAAGAAGACAAAGAUAAGCCUUUCCCCGACCCCCAAAGGGUAAUGGAUUGAAUUUGGACAAGCAUAUAUUUCUCCAACACAUAAGUAUGAUCCGUCUGUGAAUGACUCGAGGUCAAUAGACGUAGGGCAGGUUUUCUAAUUGGCCCAAUACCCCGCUCGGGUAUUGGGUCAUCCUAGGCUCAUGCCUAAAAUAGGGUUUUGGUUUCGUUCUAUCCUCAGUGUCUAGAGUGGGUUCGAACACUGGUUCUCAAGCAAACAACUUGAGUUUGAAAAUACAAACAGCCAUCAGACGACUCACGUGCUAAUAAACUGUUUGUAUUUCCAACACAUUUUUAGAAUUGAUCAAUAAGGGCCGGGAUACCCACGAAAUCCCAAAAUAGUUUAAAUAAUGUAGGAAUAUGCCAUGAGAUGCGAUAUUUAAAUUCUACAAAAGUGAAACACAUAAACACAUAAACAGUCAAUCAAAAGACAAAAUCAAACAUUUGGUUAGAACCUAGUUAAAAAUCCCCAGCAGAGUCGUCAUUUCUGUUUUGCGGAGAAAUUUUGAAUUUUGAAAGAGAGUCGCCACUUAAUUUUGAAAAGGAAUUAAGAAACCUUUAUAAAACACUUUAAACAAUCUAAAACAGAAAAAUCGUUUAAGUUAAGAGAUUCUGGAUAAGUGGUUCCUAUUAACAUUUUAGGAAGGUGUUAGGCACCUAAAACGUCCGCUAACUUGCGGUUAACCGGACUAUUUGAAAAUCGUUUUUUGAUUAACUUCGAAAAGAUUAAUUUGUUGAAAUAGUGAUUUGAUUUUUUUCAAAAAACAGACUUGUGUAAAAUAGGUUUAGGCGACUUAGUAGAGAUUUUAACUAAGUCUAAACAAAAUUAAUAAGCAAAUAAACACAUAAAAGGGGAAGGGAGGAGAAAGUAAAGGAUUUAGGCCAUUGGGCCCAAAUCAACGAGACCUGUCAUAGUCUAGUUGGGCUUCCGACCCAUUUCACCCGUCCUAAACUAUUUUUCGAGCCUUUGGCUCGAGUCUUGCUCCACCUGUAUUAAAUACAACAUUGGCUUCGAGGCCCAAAUAAAUAAGAAAUGAAUUCAUAAAUAAAGACGACAAUAGGUAAAUAACAAACGCGACUUUCGGGUCUCGUAGCUUCUUCAAAUGUGGGACUUUAACCCCUUCUUCUCCUUUUGACUCCUUGUAUCCGUAUUCUAUGAGGUUGAUAUCCAAAUUCUCCUAAAGGGUGGGCCUCACUGGCCCGUUGUAUGAUACAAGGGAAAAGAGUCCAAUUAGACUCCGAAGAGAGUUCAUGCAAAGAAAAGAUGAAUAAAUUAAUGCCCAUUCGAGACAUAACAUACCUCAAAAUAAAGAAACAUCAAGGACUAAGUUUUGAAUGAUAAUGAUGCACACACUUAUGCACAUGAUAAGAAUGAGAGUCAAUCGAUACGAUGCAAAGCCUAGAAGGGUUCAUAUAACAAUCCGAACAGAAUGAGGCAACUAUAAUGAAAAUAACUUCUCGCUUAAUUCAAUAAGUUAUAUUGCGCAUGGUUUGAACAUACCUAGAUAAUCUACUUAAGAGGUGAAGAUAUAUUCAUGGACAAAAUAGUGAAUACAAUAAACAAAAGGUCACAGAAGGAUAAAGAAUUCCCUGCACAAGUUCUUAAGGGAGAUUUUAUACCAAAAACAUGGUUCCAGCAGGUGGUGAUGAUUCUUACUAUAUCAAACCAAAUUUUAAUGCUCCUAGCUAGUGAAAGACUAAUUAUCCCAGAUUUCAAACAAAGGCAUUUAACAUGGGAUAGGAUCAAAUAGAGAAGGAAAAGACUAGAUACAAAUAGUAUGAGAAACAAUCCGAUCUUGGACUCCUCAAAGAAGAUAAUCAAAAUCAAGCAUUUUUAGAUAAGUGCAGACUAGGUUCUAUCACAAUAUAACGAAACAUAUACCCAUGGUCUUCUUUCGCAAGAACAAAGGCUUAAAGGC
rnacentral:lncRNA from 1 species